GGUGAUCCGGAGAAGCCCUUUUAAAAGGGGGCCGAAGGGGCAAAGCUUUAAAGCUAAUCUCUCAGGCAAAAGGACGGAUGGC
rnacentral:ncRNA from 1 species